GCAUGGGUGGCUCAGUCGAUUGAGCGUCUGACUUUGGCUCAGGUCUUAAUCUCACAGUUCGUGGGUUCGAGCCCUACGUCAGGCU
rnacentral:tRNA from 1 species